GACGAACCGUCCAAACGUUAUUCGGAAUCACUGGGCUUAAAGGGUGCGUAGGCGGCGCGGAAAGUUGGGUGUGAAAUCCCUCGGCUCAACCGAGGAACUGCGCCCAAUACUACCGUGCUCGAGGGAGAUAGAGGUGAGCGGAACUUAGGGUGGAGCGGUGAAAUGCGUUGAUAUCCUAAGGAACACCGGUGGCGAAAGCGGCUCACUGGAUCUCUUCUGACGCUGAGGCACGAAAGCUAGGGUAGCGAACGCG
rnacentral:rRNA from 1 species